AAGUCAUUAUUCGGAAAAUUAAAAGAAGAUGGUACGCGGAUGCUGAGAGGCGAAAGGCUGGGGGGCUGUGGGUGGAGGCUGCCCAGUGUCGUACCGACCGCCGGGCCCGGUGGGCAGCAGUGCCAAACCUACAUCGGGCCGUGCCAGGUCCGUCUGACGGACACAGGUUUGACAUACGCCAAACCCCCGCCGUCUGGUUCGUCGCACUGACCCUGCCCAAUGCAACAAACAGCCAGACCCUCUCCGCGCGUCCAGCCCUUCCCGGGCACCGCGCGUCCGAGGGGCGCGCUCAGAGAGAGAGAGAGAUCGAGCACAAGCAGGGGGAUCAGCAGGCAGAGGGAGAUGGAGAAGCAGAUUCCCACCCCCCUGACCCCCACUGAGCAGGACGCUGGGAUCACGACCUGAGCUGAAGGCAGACGCCUAGCUGACUGAGCCACCCAGCUUUCAAAGUACUUAACAUUUGCAUAAUGAUUAAUCUCGGCUCCAGAGGAAAUUCCCAAAGGGAGUGGAAAAUCGAGAGGAGGGAGCACCUCAAGUCUUCAGCUUUGGAGCCUGCUCUCGGGGGAAUUCUACUAACGUGGCCAUCCUAUUGACCAUGACACUGGGACCUGGAUAGCUGAGGGAACACAACCCCAGACAUUGGGACAAUGUCCAAUGAACUUGUGUUCAGCUUGCCCUCUGACCCUCCACAACGUUGCCUUCUGCGAGGCCUCUGGUGAGUUUGAAAGGCUGCCAGUCUGGACCCAAAAAUGGAAGUGCCUGAGGGAGAGAGUCUUCCAAAGUUCUUGGUUGUCAGAGAGAUGAACAUCAUCAAAUGACUGAAAAGAUGAAAGGGACCGACACUGACGGUGAUUGUCAGAUUAGACUGUCCAAGGGACGAGGCUCAAGAGGAGGCAGGAACCACAGCGCUGAAAAGCCUGCGCUGGAAUUGCUAGCAUUCUGAACAAGUUUUCAGGGAGCUUAUCAGAGAAGGUCAACUUGAGUGGGCAGUAAUGAGUUGAUGGCUCUGAUCCAGGGACAAGUCAGACCAUAGAAACCAAAGUCGUAUGGAGGUGGGGUGCUCUGUAAUUCUAAUGUUCCCUGGGGACAGGCAUUGGGCCCCAGGACGAGACUGGUGAACCCCUGCCCAGUGAAAUGAUCAGGUAUCAAGCUAAAAUAUGGACGGUGAAUAUGCUCAGAAGAAAGUGCAUGGGCUCAAAUAUGUUAGCGCUCUCUGUCUUUUAUUAAGGCCCUUUCUUGGAGAAAGAACUAAAGUUGAGGUGGGCAGAUCUUGAAAAUGCGUAAGGCUGAUCUUAUAACCAGCCUGCCUGAGCUUGUAUAUUGUAGGUAUUCAGAAAAUGGCUUGUUGUUCACAACGUAAUAGGGCUCAGCCCCUGUCUUGCGGUGCUACGGCCCUGGUCUUUAAAGAGUUAAGUGAUAGUGCCAGAUGACUGGAAUGUCCCACGGUGGUACGUUGUGCCCAGUCCACAGAUAGGCUACCCCUCUGCUGGGACAGGGCUUCUUCGGUUUAUUCCAAAGUAGGUAAAUGCUGGGUGUUCUCUCGACCUUAGAAGGGGUAAGACAGCACAGGGAAUUAAUAGAAGUCUGAAAUCUGAGGGUGUCAGAUGUGGGCAUUAGCAUAUAUCUUGAAACCAGGAAACUAGCCUUUCCCUCUCCUCAUUUCCAAAAAUAUCUUUCCAAGAUAGUCUCUAUUGUUUUGCCCAGGGCUGUUGGGUCUUAAUCAGUUUGCCUUAUAAGGGAUUUCAGGGUUUCAGGAGCUCUUCCAAUAGGAAGUUUUCCCUGCUGUUCUGCCCGAGUUGCCUUCUGCUUAAUUUUAGUGCGUUACGUCUGUAAAGACAGGGAGGGCUUUAUGGGGCAAAAGGCCCGAUCAUCGUGGGAAGAAUGAAUCAUUCGGAGAACAGUGAGAAGGGCUGGAAGGCGAAGGUGGCCGAGGGGCAGGAAGCUGGGGGUGGAUGGAUGACUGGGAACAGCAUCAGAACAAUCCGGCUUCUUUCUCCAUUCCUCCCACUAGGGGGUGCCCAGCAUCCCGGAAUAAUCUCUAUUAUUAAAACGUUGAAGUUUCAGGGGCCUCCAUUUAUUUUAUAGCAGGGAGCUGGCUGGCCCAGGUUUCGUGCAUCUCUGCCCUGAGUUGAGAAGAGACGGGGUGGGAGGGAUGGGGUGGAGGGAGGGCUCUUACGUCAACAAGUACACAAAUGCCUGUUAAGCAUCGGAGGAUCCUCAGUCCAUGGAAACCUCUGGCAAUAGCAUGCCUUCUCUAGGACCCACUGGUUUUCAGAUCAGUAACGGGAGUAAUUGUGGAUCCAAAAAUCCUCCUGGGCCCAGGAAAGGUGUGAUAUUUUACCCUGGGGGUAAAAUCCUCCUGGGCCCAGGAAAGGUGUGAUAUUUACCCUGGGGGUAAAGAUGUUGUGGGGAUAACAAACAAGCAAGGUUGAGAGAUUGUUUAGAGGUCAGGGAUGGAAUAAAGAUCAAAGAUAAAGUAAGACUUUCGGGGUGCCUGGGUGGCUCAGUGGGUGAAGCGUCUGCCUUCAGCUCAGGUCAUGAUCCCAGGGUCCUGGGAUCGAGCCCCGCAUCGGGCUCCUUGCUCACCGGGGAGUCUGCUUCUCCCUCUCCCUCCACCCCUCCCCACAGUUUGUGCUCUCUCUCUCUCUGUCAAAUAAAUAAAAUCUUAAAAAAAAAAAAAAAUAAAGUGAGAUUCUUAAACAGAGUAGAUAACAGGGGUGGAUAAAGGUUAGGGAGAGUGAGGGCAUUUUGAGGGUCUCAAAACAUACAUGCCUUCAGAGUGGCCACAGCAUGACUUCUAGCUACGGGUGCCUUUGUGGAAAGAACAGGGAACUUGGACCUGGACAGACAUGAGUUCAAAUUUCAUCCCAAGCACUCAAUGGCCUCGUGAUCUUGGGAAUUUAGGAGAGUUAGUCAACCCCUUUAAUCUGUAAUUCUCUCAUUUCAAAACAGAACUAAGAAUACUAGGGUUACUUGAGAAUUCAAAAGGAAAUGGAUAUUCUUAGAAGGUGAAGGAGGGUCAGUCUGACAAGGCACUUUCAGACCAAGAACCAAAGCAAGCCACUGAAUACCAUUUACAGAGAGUUUUAGUUGGGGAGAUGAGGCGGGUGGGAGGAGGGACAGACCACCCAGGGCAGGACACACCCAGCUAUUCUCCGCUGGGUCUGGACCUUAAUCCCUAGCUUCUAUGGAGCGAGGGGCAUGGUGGUGAGGUCAUAGGGUAGUUAUCUAAAGUGGGACCUGCUGUGUGCUGCUCAUCUCUGCUCGUUACUUGAAGUGGGGCCUUCUGUGCACAACUUUAGGAAAGAUAAGAAGGAGCUUUCCCACAUUCCGGUAGGGGCGUCCAUUAGUUUCCACAGGGCCUCGAACAUGUAGCCUGGAGGGAGGUCUUGUGUGGGCAUGAACAGGAGAGAGGGCUAAAGAUGGAGUCAGGGUUGUCAGCACUCCCACACAAAGCAUGGAAUGCAUUUAACCUUCUCUCUCUCAUUUUUCCCUAUUUGGAAAUGGCGGAGAGCAAAGAAAGAAGUAUCUCUUGCUGGUUUCUGGCACCCCAAGACCUCAGGUACCAGGACUGCAGCCCCAGGGCAAGAAGGUCUUCCUUGGCCUCUGGGGCUUUCUGCACUGCAGAGCUUCACUGACUAUUUAGGACACGCUGGAGUAGUCUUGGCCGCCAUGACCCUUUGGACCAGCCCUUAAGUACUUUGCAGGACUGUGGGCCAUCAUUAAGAAACCAGUCCCCAACUCAAUUUUUAGAGGUCACCAACUGGUCCAGAGGCCUUCGAUCUUGGAGUGUUAAAUUGUCUCGCCCACAGCCACACAGAGGGCCAAAGCCUGGCCUGCAAUCCCCGUGCAACGCUUUCCUGUAUUACCAGUUAAUCCAUGCUAAUGUGACAAUGACCCACAAUUCUUUUCAGCAUAGUGUUCCAAAGUGUGGGCCACAGACCACCUGUACCAGCAUCAGAAGGUGGGCUUGAUAAAAACACAGAUUCCUGGCCUCCUGCCAGACCUGUGCACUCAGAACCUCUAAAGUUGAAAGGCAAUGGCUUACAAAGUUCCCAGUCCCAGGUCACACUCUUACGCGGAAAUACAAUGCCUGAAUCUGCCCAAGUGCUCUUUUGUGGGGGAAGGUUGGGGCCCUUAGGCGGAAGUCUUGUUGGUUCAAAAGUCAUAGCCUACAGGUGUUUCUGACCCUGCUUAUUUACAGAGCCAACUUCGUCCCUAGCUACUUCCUUCCUUCCCCUGGAACUUCCUAAAUGUUGGAAUCAUUUCUGUGACGGUCACGGGAGACCGUUUCUGUGGACACCCGAUGAGGCAGCUUGCUUUGCCAAGGUCAGCUUGAUUCUCUCCGGAGCCACAGUAAUCACCGGGCCUCCUGUCAAGGCAGCGGGGGAGGAGAGGGAGUUUUGGGUUUUGUUUCUGGGCAUUGGGGGCACCAGGAUACCCGGAUCACCAGCUGCCACUUCCUUGGCAUUGACGGAGCACUUACUAACAGGAUAGCUGUGUCUAGAUGGACACGGCUGGGGUCAGAACUACCCAUGUCUUGAAGGCUGUGAACUCGGACCUCUCCGUCUAGAGAGGGAUGGGCUCUGGACACGUGAACCGGCUUCCGGAGCUUCCUCCCGACAAGGAUUGCAUGAGCUGGCUUUGCAGAAGGAACUUGUGACCGUGGAUCACCCUCCAGAGAGACAGGCCUUUCCAGACUCAGAGGAACAGCAGUGGAAGUUCUCUGCUCGAAGUCUGUAGCCCUCAGAGUAAGAGGCUUCACCUCGGCCUCUGCGAGGGUCCCUGCACCGCAGAAUGGCAGCGGGUCUUCAGGGCAGAGAGAGUUUGCAAGAAGGAUUCACAUCAGCUUCAAAAUGCCCCAAAUGAGCACAAACAUGCUGCCAGGAAGGCAGUUGUUGCUGUCUGAAAUGCUGUUUGGCACAAGGUGGAAAAUGAAUUUCUGUAACAUAAGACUGCAGGUCACCCCUCGUGCAGCCAAUGUCACGUUCGCACUCUCCAGCUGGCCCACUGGCUGCCUCCAGGAGGUCGGGGCGGGGCUGUGUGGAGGUGGUUUCGGCCUCCUCCCUUCAAGGGGGCCUGCGUGCCUGCCUGGGGUCCUGGGGGUAGAGAGGUCCCCUCCGGAAGGCAUCAUCUGACCCCUUCCCAAUCCUUUCGGUUUUCGAGGAACAAGAGGAUUCAUCUGACUCAACUGGAGAUGGCUCCCUUCCCUAAUUUAUUCUAUUCCCGAAGCUUCACUACUCCCGGGCUCAGCGUGAGUAGGCAGGAGCCCGAGAAGACGCAGCCCCUUGCAGAGAAACAAGUUCACAGGCGAAAAGAAAAACCCUAACCUCUUUCUUGUCAUUCAGCAGGUUUUGUUGAACCUGGAGAGGAAAUACAUUCCAAAGGCAGGAAAUGACCCAGAGCCCGUAACAAUAUGUGAAAAGCCAAACUGGUGCUUCCGUCACUUUGUUUCAAACUAUUCUCAUCUGUGUACCAGGAAGCCUAACCCAUUACCAGAUGGAGGUUUGUUUUCAGACGCCUCUCGGCAUCUGCCACUCCCGGCUGGUGACAUUUGCACGUUUCAAGAAGGCAAAACUGUUCUGACAUCUUCUAACUUCCGGAGAGAGGCGGCCCUCAGGAAAGCCUUCGGGUCUCUUGCCGGCGGCCCCGACCAUCUGAUGUGCUCCAUGCGGCUGGCCUCGAGCCGAGAACGCUGGCGCGCCGAGUCUGUUCUCGAAGAUUUGCAGCAUCUGAAAUCAAACUGCCCCACGCUGCCGGAAAAGGUGGCUCCCUUGCCCGCUUCCUAAUCCCUUCUCGCAGGCUUUCCCAGAGAAAUCUGAUGAGUCAGGAAGGAAGAAAACGUGGCCGAGGGAGAUCUGGGCGUGGGCUGGUCUCAUUGCUUCAGAAAACUCCCGCCUGUUCCACAAUGCGGGUCACGGUUAGGGGUUCGGUUGUACUUUUUUCUCUGUUUGUUCCUCCAUCAGCGCUCACUGGGAGAGACCCUUCAUUUACCACUCGUGAAAUUAGCUCUGCCAAAGCAGGAAGGCCCUCUGAUGAUAAUGAGUCACGGUUACAAGGAAGUUGUGACUUCACUUUACCCCCAUGAGCAGGGCAAGAAAAUGCUCCCACCUUUGCUCCCAGAAGGAACAAUCAUUCAGCGGCCUUGUUCUGGCCCGGGGGCCUGUACUUUCCCAAGGCUUUUAAUUUUUACUGAGCACCUUUCAUCAGCCUUCCCACUGAAGGCUGUGUGCCAGUUGGAUUCUCAACACAGCGAGUGAGGUGGCUUCUGGGAUACCUUGCUCCGAGCAGGUAUCCUGCUAAUCCCCCUGAGGUCAUCGGAAAGGAGCUAGAGUUGAAUGAAUAAUGUGCCCAACUCUUUCAACCCUUUCAAAAUGGGACACGGAUUAAAGUAUAAAGAAUCCAAUAUAUUUGUUGACACCUGGUUUAUAAAAAAGCUCCAGCAAGAAAGAAGGGGGACAUUCAACAUCAGGCUGGGGAAAUGGGAGCAUCAGUGGGGGACACUGCUCUCUCGUGUUCUGGCAGCAAAUACCUGUCCUGGAGCGUGAAACCCCUCUGUGCCACUACCCAAAAUUGUGUGGUUUUAUUUUUAUUUUUUUAAAGAUUUUAUUUAUUUAUUUGACAGAGAGAGACACAGCGAGAGAGGGAACACAAGCAGGGGGAGUGGGAAAGGGAGAAGCAGGCUUCCCAUUGAGCAGGGAGCCCCCAGUGCAGGGCUCGAUCCCAGGACGCUGGGAUCGUGACCUGAGCCGAAGGCAGAUGCCCAACCGACUGAGCCAUCCAGGCGCCCUGUGUGGUUUUAUUUUUAUUUUUUUUUAAGAUUUUAUUUAUUUAUUUGACAGAGAGACACAGUGAGAGAGGGAACACAAGCAGGGGGAGUAGGGGAGGGAGAAGCAGGCUUCCCGCUGAGCAGGGAGCCCCCAGUGCAGGGCUCGAUCCCAGGACCCGGGGAUCGUGACCUGAGCCGAAGGCAGACGCCCAACCGACUGAGCCAUCCAGGUGCCCCAUGAAAGAGAUUUUAAAAAGUAUGUUCUGAUUAGCUUGGAUUUGUCCCUAGUGAGGGAAUAUAGUCUCCAUUACAGGACAGUAGCUUCAUACCAGAGGCAGGUUGUACCAACUGUAUGUAGCUGGUAGUAAACCGUAGAUAAAAGAACCUAGAAGAUCUUCAUAAAAAGAGAGAGAGAGGGAGAGACAAUCUUCCCAGCAAUAAGGGAAGAUAAGAGAUGUAUGGGUCCCUCUCCCCUUACUAGGAAUGGGAAACAGAGGGAGUUCAUCAUUCUAACUCUUGACACCAGCCAAACAGGAUAAAUAGUUUAUAUUAUGAUGAUGACAGUGACCCUAAUGAUGAAGAGAUGGUGUUGACCCAGAUUAAAAAAAAAAAAAACGGUGCUUGAUUUCAAGCUAUGCUUAAGCCCCAAAACACUACUGUCAGGGCCACUUCUAUGAUCCAAGGGACUUUUCACUACAGCUAGAGGCAUUUGGGGUGAAUGAAAUAAACAUAAUCGAAUAGAAAAAUCAGGAUUAGAUAAAGAUGGGAUUGGGAAUGGUUAAAAAAUUAGUGAGAAAGGUAUCAAAUAUAUACCUAUUUCCAUUCUGCGUUCAGUCUUGAUCUAAUGGUUAAAAAUACAGUUAAAAACUAUUCUUAUAUUAAUACGUAGCAGGGCAAAAGAUUUUGCUGGGCUCUCUGGGCACAUAUUUGGGGUGGCUAGUCAGUGGGGCCUUUCAGUCAUCUACAGCCUUCCCCAUAGACAAAAGACAGAGUGGGGAAUGCCCGACUCCUUGAGGGCAGCUGCUGAAGGCCAGGCCGUAACCUGGCGGUAAAUGUUAGCGUGUGCUUAACCCCAGGUUUAGCAGAGGUGGUUGCUAGGCACUUAAAGGAGAUGCUUAUGUUUUGCAAGUGAGAGAACAGAUUCAAAAGGGGAGAAAGAAUAGAACCAUGAGUUCCAAACUACGUGGAGGUGCCCGGGACACCACAGCAAACUCACAGGGGGCAUGGCGGCAGACAUUAAGUGUGGAGAGAAACAUGGUGAUGCUGACCCCUGUGGGACACCGUGGGAAUGACGAGGUCAAGGUUGCUCACCGUUUCAACCGUAGACUGUGCCCCCUUCCCCUGCAAGACGUCUUGUCUCUGAGAAGUUGGGUUUCCAGCCAUUGUUAUGAAAUGCAAUUACCAAGUGAAAGUCAGUGUGGAAGAAGGGAUGCAGGUGGUGGUGCCUGUCUAGUUUCCAAGGUUUUACAAGACUUUCAGGGCCCACUUGGCAUAUACUUCCUUUUGUAAGUACCUGUGGUUGAGAGUAGAAUAAAAAUAUAUAUAUAUAUAUAUAUAUAUUUUUGAAUUUAUGUGUCUUAUUCUUAUUCAAACAGCUGAGUUGUUGGGACCUAACCACUGGGUAAGUAAUGUUUCUGUUGUAUUUCUUUUCAGCUAGGAGCUCUGUAAAAAAAUUCCUGAGCCGCUAAGAUGCUAUGAAUUGAGAAAGCUGGGGAACCUGUUGGUGAGAGCAGUACAAACUGUAUCCAGGGGCAAGGUGCAAUUUAAUGAUUUAGGUUCAUUAGGGGAGGGGCAGAGGCAGAGGGAGAAGCAGGCUCCCCGCAGAGCAGUGAGCCCGAUGUGGGGCUCGAUCCCAGGACCCUGGGAUCAUGACCUGAGCCGAAGGCAGACGCUUAACCGACUGAGCCACCCAGGUGUCUCUAAAAUUAUUUUAUACCAUGCUUCUCAAGCUAUCGUCAGUGAAGGGCUUUUUUUUUUUUUUUUUUUAAUUUCCAAUUUCCAUUGGAUUAUGUGAUGGUUAAUUUUUUGUGUGUUAACUUGGCUGGGCCAUGGUGCCCACGUAUUUGGUCAAACAUUAUUCUGGAUGUUGCUCCGAAGGUGUUUUUUGGGAUGACAUUACCAUUAAAAUCAGCAGACUUUGAAUAAAGCAGAUUACCUCUAUAACGUGGGUGGGUCUCAGCCAAUCAACUGAAGGUCUUACCAGAACAAAGACAAAACUUCCUGAGCAAGAAGAAAUUCUUGCUAGCAGACUGCCUUUGGACUAGAAUUCUUCCCUGAAAUAGAUCUCUCUUUUUAUAUAUAGACAUACACACACACAUGCACACACGUGCACUCAUACCCCUCUUGGUUCUAUUUCUCUGGAGAAUGCUAACUAAUGUAGAUUGAUACUUUAAAAAUGCAAUAAAAAUAAAUUUCUAAGAAAAUGAUCAUAUGUUUAAAUAUUGUGAAAAUGUUAAAUUGCUAUAAAAGUUUCUAAAUACCUGCUUUCAGUUUCCAUAUUUAGUUUAUCUGAUUGAUAAUCAAGUGUUUGUAGAAGACACUUAGAGUAGAGCUGAUAUCAUAAAAAUGUAAAUAUAUACAUACAUUCAUACAUACUUACACACAU